rnacentral:rRNA from 1 species
AUGGAGGGAAAGAUUCCCACCGUGCAAGCAACUUCUAAGGGAGUGGGGAUGCAUGCAAUAAGAAGGCUCUGUGUCCCUAGACCACCUGCCAAACCUCCUGAAGAUUAUGACAAGUGCAUCCUUCUUUUCGUAAGAAUGCAGACUAUCAAUACAGCAUCAUCUCCAAGCUGUGUGCUGAACAUGUUGAAGCCACUGUUUGAGAUGCUACAUCUGCCGUUGCAAGGAAACUGUGGUGCACUGUCUGAUUCUUCAUGUUGUCCUCUGCAUUCACAGCUGGGUAGUUUUUCCUUGCUUAAAUGGUAUCUUCAAACUACAUUCAUUUCUCUAACGGCACCCCGGGGCCAGUGCAAUUCUGAACAUUUUCAACCUUGGAUCACCAGCACAAAGGUACUAUAUUUCACAUACUUUGCCGGCGGAAGUCGACAUAUGUCCCAGUUACAUUUUCAAGCUUGUCAUAGUGGCAGCCGGACAGUGACUCGGGAAACAUCUUCUAUUGGCACAUUGCAUACACAUGCAGGUUGUAUGGCCUAUCUAAAUCUUAUCAACAUUACUUUGAGGUGUUCAGAAGUAAUACAUGGGGUGCAUGUGACCUACAAAAGCAUACAGUCUUAUAUAUCCUAUAUGGUGCAGCAACUAGUAUGUGUUGAAUACCUUACCUAUGGUCUUGCCCACUGUGACAUUUAUUUGGAGAAGUUUGCACUGUUGUGGAAGAUGAAGAAACAUGGUUCAAAUAAUUCAGUUGUUACUGUCACUUCUUCCUUCAGACAUAGCAGCAACAUUUGUUCUGUUCAGAACGUCCUAUUACUUGCCUGGGGGAUUACUUGGAAGCUUGCUCUGUCCUAG